rnacentral:rRNA from 1 species
AUUGAACGCUGGCGGCAGGCUUAACACAUGCAAGUCGAACGAGUGGCGGACGGGUGAGUAAUGUCUGGGAAACUGCCUGAUGGAGGGGGAUAACUACUGGAAACUGUAGCUAAUACCGCAUACCACAAGAUGUGCCCAGGUGGGAUUAGCUUGUUGGUGGGGUAACGGCUCACCAAGGCGACGAUCCCUAGCUGGUCUGGGAGGAUGACCAGCCACACUGGAACUGAGACACGGUCCAGACGCGAACGGGAGGCAGCAGUGGGGAAUAUUGGACAAUGGGGGCAAGCAUGAUGCAGCAAGGCCGCGUGUAUGAAGAAGGCCUUCGGGUUGUAAAAUACUGUCAGCGGGAAGGCGGUACCCGCAGAAGAAGCACCGGCUAACUCCGUGCCAGCCGCCGCGGUAAUUC